UACGUAGGGUGCAAGCGUUGUCCGGAAUUAUUGGGCGUAAAGAGCUCGUAGGCGGUCUGUUGCGUCGGCUGUGAAAACCCGGGGCUCAACCCCGGGCCUGCAGCCGAUACGGGCAGACUAGAGUUCGGCAGGGGAGACUGGAAUUCCUGGUGUAGCGGUGAAAUGCGCAGAUAUCAGGAAGAACACCCGUGGCGAAGGCGGCUCACUGGCCCGAUACUGACGCUGAGGCACGAAAGCGUGGGGAGCAAACAGG
rnacentral:rRNA from 1 species